GCAUAAUCAGUAGCUUUUUAAUUGAAGGCUGGAAUGAACGGUAGGAACCAAUGGGAAUGUUUUAUUUUAUAAGUUUGAAUUUAGCUUAAAAAUAAAAAUGUUUUUAUUAAUUCUUGGGACGAGAAGACCCUAGAAGCUUAAAAUUUUAAAAUUUUUAGUUGGGGCAAUUUUUGAAGAGGAAAAUUUUUAUUAGUGUAAAAUUAAUAUAUAGAAAGUUACUCUAGGGAUAACAGCGUUAUUUAAUUGAUAAGUUCUUAUUAAUAGUUAAGUUUGCGACCUCGAUGUUGAAUUAAUU
rnacentral:rRNA from 1 species